GAUGAAUUUUAUUGUAAUAAUAUAGUUGAUUUAACCCAAUACAUAAAAACAUCAUCACUUCAACAUGUAAUCAGUAUAAAAACUAAUAAGAUCUUCACCUUCUUUUUGAAUACCAAGGUUUUGAAAUCCAGGAAGUAUUUUUAAAGUAUGUUUACAUUUAUAGUACAUGUCAAUUCGGACUCAAAUAAGCAUGAGCCUAGUGGUGGUUGUAUUGGACACUAUAACCCUAGAUCAGUUUCCAGUCUUCUCUGUCCUCCUCUGUGCCCUUGGAGGUUGAUCUGGGCUUGCAUCACUCAGCUCUCUUGUCCUCAGAUUUCCAGAUAGCCUUGGGCAAUAGAAGGCACUAUUAAAAGCUGGUAAACACCCAAGGUAAGGCCAGCUCAGGGUCUGCCUCGACCACUGCAUUUCUCCUUCCCUACUCUUCCCCCACUCCAGUACUCUUGCCUGGAAAAUCCCAUGAACGGAGGAGCCUGGUGGGCUGCAGUCCAUGGAAUCGCUAAAAGUUGGACACGACUGAGCGACUUCACUUUCACUUUUCACUUUCAUGUAUUGGAGGAGGAAAUGGCAACCCACUCCAGUGUUCUUGCCUGGAGAAUCCCAGGGAAGGCGGGGCCUGGUGGGCUGCCGUCUCUGGGGUCGCACAGAGUCGGAUACGACUGAAGCGAGUUAGCAGCAGCAGCAGCAGCAACUCUUCCCUUGCUGGUAUGGAAGCCCCAUUUUACAGAUGUAAAAACUAAGGCUCAGGGCUAUUAAAUCUUUGUAUUUUCCCCCCACUAUGGAUAAACCUCUCAGAGCCACAGUAAGAGAACGCCUGAGAGAAACAAAACAAUAAUUGGUAUAUCUUUCAGGUAACGGUGGGAAAAUACAAGUUGUUAGUGCUUCUCUUGAGAGCAGAUUUAGCAUAAGUCAGACCCCACUGAAUCUGCUUGCAAUGCGGGACACCUGCGUGGAUCCUUAGGUCGGGAAAAUCCCUUGGAGGAGGAAAUGGCAACCCACUCCAGUAUUC
ensembl:lncRNA